rnacentral:rRNA from 1 species
GUAGGGCGCAAGCGUUGUCCGGAUUUAUUGGGCGUAAAGAGCUCGUAGGCGGCCUGUCGCGUCGACUGUGAAAACCCACGGCUCAACCGUGGGUCUGCAGUCGAUACGGGCAGGCUAGAGUUCGGUAGGGGAGACUGGAAUUCCUGGUGUAGCGGUGAAAUGCGCAGAUAUCAGGAGGAACACCGGUGGCGAAGGCGGGUCUCUGGGCCGAUACUGACGCUGAGGAGCGAAAGCGUGGGGAGCGAACAGGAUUAGAUACCCUGGUAGUCCACGCUGUAAACGUUGGGCGCUAGGUGUGGGGGGCCUCUCCGGUCCUCUGUGCCGCAGCUAACGCAUUAAGCGCCCCGCCUGGGGAGUACGGCCGCAAGGCUAAA